rnacentral:rRNA from 1 species
CCAAUAGCGUAUAUUAAAGUUGUUGCAGUUAAAAAGCUCGUAGUUGAAUUUCGGGAUCAAAUUGUCGGUCGUGCCUCGGUACGCACUGGCGUUAUUGGUUCCUACCUUCUGAAGAACCACGAUGUCAUUAAUUUGGUGUCGCGGGGAAUCAGGACUGUUACUUUGAAAAAAUUAGAGUGUUUAAAGCAGGCUCGCGCUUGAAUACAUUAGCAUGGAAUAAUGAAAUAGGACGUUUGAUUCUAUUUUGUUGGUUUCUAGGGUCGACGUAAUGAUUAAUAGGGAUAGUUGGGGGCAUUAGUAUUCAAUUGUCAGAGGUGAAAUUCUUGGAUUUAUUGAAGACUAACUACUGCGAAAGCAUUUGCCAAGGAUGUUUUCAUUAAUCAAGAACGAAAGUUAGGGGAUCGAAGACGAUCAGAUACCGUCGUAGUCUUAACCAUAAACUAUGCCGACUAGGGAUCGGAUGAUGUUAAUUUUUUAAUGACUCAUUCGGCGCCUUACG